CUAUCACUGAAUUUAUCAUCGAAUCCUUCAUCACUGGAUAUAAAUUUGCAAUAUCAAAUAAGAUGAUCACAUCACCUAGCUUACAUUAUUAAAGUGAUAUAAAAUAUUAUUUUUUAUUAAAUAUUUUUUUAAAAUAUUUAAAUAAUUUAGAUAAAUGUCACGUAACUACUCAAUCAUCGUGUGUGAUGAUUGGAUCACGUGCGGAUGG
rnacentral:lncRNA from 1 species